CCUAAUACAUGCAAGUCGAGCGAGCUUGCCUAGAUGAUUUUAGUGCUUGCACUAAAUGAAACUAGAUACAAGCGAGCGGCGGACGGGUGAGUAACACGUGGGUAACCUGCCCAAGAGACUGGGAUAACACCUGGAAACAGAUGCUAAUACCGGAUAACAACACUAGACGCAUGUCUAGAGUUUGAAAGAUGGUUCUGCUAUCACUCUUGGAUGGACCUGCGGUGCAUUAGCUAGUUGGUAAGGUAACGGCUUACCAAGGCAAUGAUGCAUAGCCGAGUUGAGAGACUGAUCGGCCACAUUGGGACUGAGACACGGCCCAAACUCCUACGGGAGGCAGCAGUAGGGAAUCUUCCACAAUGGACGAAAGUCUGAUGGAGCAACGCCGCGUGAGUGAAGAAGGGUUUCGGCUCGUAAAGCUCUGUUGGUAGUGAAGAAAGAUAGAGGUAGUAACUGGCCUUUAUUUGACGGUAAUUACUUAGAAAGUCACGGCUAACUACGUGCCAGCAGCCGCGGUAAUAC
rnacentral:rRNA from 1 species